GGUCGAUACAUACAGGGUACUCUGAAUGUGAACAAACACAGGGCCCAGCAUGAAGCCUUCGUCCGCUUUGAGGGCUCCUCUAACAAGAGCUCAGAGCUGAACACUGAUGUGCUGCUGUGUGGGGGGA